rnacentral:misc_RNA from 1 species
GUCAAGGUUACCUGGUGAGUGCUGGUCCUACUAUGUCGAGCGCUAUUUCCCCACUGCACCAAAAACUCGUCAACUCAUUGAUUCCUGAAACUGAUUCCGUGGUAGAGAAGGGUGCAAGAGAGACUCUGCGACUACUCAUUAGUAGUUCAACCCAAGGUAACCCUCAGUUGAUGGAUGUCUUCCCUGUAGCAUUGACCAAUGCUGAUGAGAAAAAAGGCAUACAUGUGACUGGAAGCCGUGGACUCUAUGGUGGCUCCAGCGAUGUAGAAGCUAUUGCGAAUAGCAUGGCCACUAUUAGCUUGGUUUCUUUGUCUGAGGGCAUUGUAAGACAUGGUGAUGCAAACGUAGUGGGCAGUUGUGACGAUUUUGACAGUGUGUUGGGAGGUAGACCUAGUGAUCUGGAUGGGCCAUGUUCCGAUGAUGAUAAAACUCGGGAUCCGAUUACAAAAGAAGGGAACAGUUGAUGCGGUACCUAUUUUGGGUUUUCGUUUGGCUUCGUAGAUCCUUUUAUGUUUCUAAAAAGAAAAUUGUAGAUAUGUAGCUGCAGCCUUGGCUUUUUGAAAUGUAAUUAGUGCAAAUUUUGCCAUUUGUUGGGCAUUUGUUAAUGUUUAUUCCUUCAUUUUUCCAGUUCUUGAUAGUAUGAACCUAGUUAUAUGUUUUUU